UCUAUUCUUUUGUUUGAAGUAGAAAUUGAAUACAAGUGAACCGAGUGAACACAUUACACUGUGGGAAGGAAGCAUGUAUUUUCUCUGCAGGUUAUCCACUAUCCAAGGUCAUUUACAGACCUGAACAGACAGCAAAUCAUGGAAGUUUAGACCUGGAAAGAGCAUAAGAAGUAUGUCUUCAUAGCUCAGAACAACUUCUCUGCAGUGAGCUACGGGAGGGUGGAAGGAUGAGGGGAUUGCACUCAUGCCGCCCCACCCUGAGCAGAACAGCUGUAUCUUACGCCCAGAUCUGAGCAGCUUGUGUUGGCCAGGAAACCCAGAACCGCUCUACAACAGACCAUGAAGAACUCUGGCUCACAAACCCUGCUUCCUUUACAUCUUCCCUGGGCAGCCAGCAUGGAAGAUGGGAAUCCACUCCUGAAAGCAGUCAUUUUCUCAUGCCUCUUGACAUUUGGAUGUGGGAAGUUGGAGCAACCUGAAAUAUCAAUAUCCAGAGCAAGAGAUGAGACUGUCCAAAUAUCCUGUAAGGCUUUCAUCAAAAGCUUUAAAAGUGUAACCAUACACUGGUACCGACAGAAACAAAACCAAGGCUUAGAGUAUCUAUUAUAUGUCCUUGCAACCCCUACUCAUAUUUUCUUAAAUAAGAAGUAUAUGAAAAUGGAGGCAAGAAAAGAUUCUAGUGCCUCUACAUCCACAUUGACAAUAUACUCCUUGGAGGAAGAAGACGAAGCUAUCUACUACUGUUUAGAUUUUUGUAGAAGAUGUGAGCACUGUGAUAGCUCGGGCUGGAGGAAGGUAUUUGCAGAAGGAACUAAGCUCAUAGUAAUUCCCUCUGACAAAAGCUUUGAUGCAGACAUUUCCCCCAAGUCCACCAUUUUUCUUCCUUCUGCUGCUGAAACAAAUCUCCAUAAGGCUGGGACAUACCUUUGUCUCCUUGAAAAGUUUUUUCCCGAUGUCAUAAGGGUGUAUUGGAAAGAAAAAAGUGGCAAUACUAUCCUGGACUCCCAGGAAGGGGAUACGCUGAAGACUAACGACACGUACAUGAAGUUUAGCUGGCUUACUGUGCCUGAAAGGUCGAUGGGGAAAGAGCACCGAUGUAUUGUCAAACAUGAGAACAACAAAGGAGGAGUGGAUCAGGAGAUUUUCUUUCCUUCAAUAAAGAAAGUUGCUGUGAGUACCAAUCCUACAACUUGCUGGCAAGAUAAAAAUGAUAUGCUGCAGCUCCAGUUCACAAGCACCUCAGCCUACUACACCUACCUACUCCUGCUCCUCAAGAGUGUGAUCUACUUGGCCAUCAUCAGCUUCAUUAUGCUUAAAAGAACGUCUCUCUGUGGCAGUAAGAAGAUGUCCUAAAGAAGUGAGUGGUGGUAGAGCAAGGCAGCUGGUUUUCAUCCUUACUGCCAUAAAGGUGCCUAGUGGGGGUCCAGCUGCCUUCUCUUGUUGGCUUUGACUUCUCUAAAGUCAUGUCCACAUGUUGAAAAAACAUUUUUUGAACUUUUGUAAGCAAUUUCAGCAACGUCUCUGCAACUAAGCUUACCCCCUUUCUGAUUCUAUCCUCUCCAGCAGUCCCCUCCCCCAGAAGCCCAAAGCAUCAAUGUUCUAGUACCCAUAUCCUAUAGCUUUUACCCAUGACCCUUAUUGCUCUUGAACCAGCCUGUUCCCUGAGAGCUUCCACUCUAGACAACCUGAAGAAUCUUCUUUACUGUUUGAUUCUGUGUUUUGUAUUUCAUAUUAGGGACAAUAAAUUUUUUAAAAAUUAGAA